UCGGGAAUUUUGGGCAAUGGGGGAAACCCUGACCCAGCAACGCCGCGUGAAGGAUGAAGUAUUUCGGUAUGUAAACUUCGAAAGAAUAGGAAGAAUAAAUGACGGUACUAUUUAUAAGGUCCGGCUAACUACGUGCCAGCAGCCGCGGUAAUACGUAGGGACCAAGCGUUGUUCGGAUUUACUGGGCGUAAAGGGCGCGUAGGCGGCAUGACAAGUCACUUGUGAAAUCUCUGGGCUUAACCCAGAACGGCCAAGUGAUACUGUCGCGCUAGAGUGCAAAAGGGGCAGUCGGAAUUCUUGGUGUAGCGGUGAAAUGCGUAGAUAUCGGGAGGAACACCUGUGGCGAAGGCGGCCACCUGGUUGGAUACUGACGCUGAGACGCGAAAGCGUGGGGAGCAAACAGGAUUAGAUACCCCCGUAGUCCCUGAGCGGGCUGGCAAGGCGCAU
rnacentral:rRNA from 1 species